UAAGGAAUAUUGGUCAAUGGACGAAAGUCUGAACCAGCCAUGCCGCGUGGAGGAUGAAGGUCCUCUGGAUUGUAAACUUCUUUUAUCAGGGACGAAAAAAGGGUUUUCUAACUCACUUGACGGUACCAGAUGAAUAAGCACCGGCUAACUCCGUGCCAGCAGCCGCGGUAAUACGGAGGGUGCAAGCGUUAUCCGGAUUCACUGGGUUUAAAGGGUGCGUAGGCGGGGAUGUAAGUCAGUGGUGAAAUCUCCGGGCUUAACUCGGAAACUGCCAUUGGUACUAUAUGUCCUGAAAUAUCUUGAGGUUAGCGGAAUA
rnacentral:rRNA from 1 species